UGCAAGUCGUACGAGAGUUUUUAACUCUAGUGGCGGACGGGUGAGUAACACGUGAGAAUUUACCUUUAGGAGGGGGAUAACAGCGUAUCAAUAGAUAUUACGGAAACGGCUGCUAAUACCCCAUAUGCUUUUGAGUGAAAUAGAUUUAUCUGCCUAAAGAGAAGCUCGCGGCUGAUUAGCUUGUUGGUAAGGUAAUGGCUUACCAAGGCGACGAUCAGUAUCUGGUUUGAGAGGACGAUCAAACACCACUGGAACUGAGACACGGUCCAAAUUCCUACGGGAGGCUGCAGUCGAGAAUCUUCCGGCAUGGGCGAAAGCCUGACCGAGCGACGCCGCGUGCGGGAUGAAGGCUUCGGUUGUAAACCGCUGUAGAGGGAGCAAUCUCUUGAGGUAUCCUCUUGAGUUGAGCUAUCUCAGAGAAGACGGCUAAGUUCUGCCAGCAGCCGCGUA
rnacentral:rRNA from 1 species